AUUGAACGCUGGCGGCAUGCCUAACACAUGCAAGUCGAACGAGUGGCGGACGGGUGAGUAACGUCUGGGAAACUGCCUUAUGGAGGGGGAUAACCUCGGGGAACCCUGGCCUAUACCGCGAACUACAGGCUGUGCUCAAGUGGGAUUAGCUAGAUGGUGGGGUAAUGGCCUACCAAGCCUACGAUCCCUAGCUGGUCUGAGAGGAUGACCAGCCACACCGGGACUGAGACACGGCCCAGACUCCUACGGGAGGCAGCAGUGGGGAAUAUUGCGCAAUGGGGGCAAGCUGACGCAGCCAUGCCGCGUGAAUGAAGAAGGCCUUCGGGUUGUAAAGUUCUUUCAGUGACGAGGCGUUAAUCACAGAAGAAGCACCGGCUAACUCCGUGCCAGCAGCCGCGGUAAUAC
rnacentral:rRNA from 1 species